rnacentral:rRNA from 1 species
GCGCGAAAACUUUACAAUGCUGGCAACAGCGAUAAGGGAACCUCGCGUGCCAGGUUACAAAUCUGGCUGUCGAGAUGCCUAAAAAGCAUUUCAUAGCAAGGGCCGGGCAAGACCGGUGCCAGCCGCCGCGGUAACACCAGCGGCUCGAGUGGUAACCGUUAUUAUUGGGUCUAAGGGUCUGUAGCCGGCCGGAUAAGUCUCUUGGGAAAUCUGGCAGCUCAACUGUCAGGCUUUCAGGAGAUACUGUCUGGCUCGAGGCCGGGAGAGGUGAGAGGUACUUCAGGGGUAGGGGUGAAAUCUUGUAAUCCUUGAAGGACCACCAGUGGCGAAGGCGUCUCACCAGAACGGACCUGACGGCAAGGAACGAAAGCUAGGGGCACGAACCG